UAGGGAAUCUUCCGCAAUGGACGCAAGUCUGACGGAGCAACGCCGCGUGAGUGAAGAAGGAUUUCGGUUCGUAAAACUCUGUUGUUAGAGAAGAACAGCGCAUAGAGUAACUGUUAUGCGUGUGACGGUAUCUAACCAGAAAGCCACGGCUAACUACGUUCCAGCAGCCGCGGUAAUACGUAGGUGGCAAGCGUUGUCCGGAUUUAUUGGGCGUAAAGCGAGCGCAGGCGGUCAAUUAAGUCUGAUGUGAAAGCCCCCGGCUCAACCGGGGAGGGUCAUUGGAAACUGGUUGACUUGAGUGCAGAAGAGGAGAGUGGAAUUCCAUGUGUAGCGGUGAAAUGCGUAGAUAUAUGGGGGAACACCAGUGGCGAAGGCGACUCUCUGGUCUGUAACUGACGCUGAGGCUCGAAAGCGUGGGUAGCAAACAGG
rnacentral:rRNA from 1 species